rnacentral:rRNA from 1 species
AGUGAACGCUGGCGGUGGGCCUAACACAUGCAAGUCGAACGGCAGCACAGUAAGAGCUUGCUCUUACGGGUGGCGAGUGGCGGACGGGUGAGGAAUACAUCGGAAUCUACUUUUUCGUGGGGGAUAACGUAGGGAAACUUACGCUAAUACCGCAUACGACCUACGGGUGAAAGCAGGGGAUCUUCGGACCUUGCGCGACUGAAUGAGCCGAUGUCGGAUUAGCUAGUUGGCGGGGUAAAGGCCCACCAAGGCGACGAUACGUAGCUGGUCUGAGAGGAUGAUCAGCCACACUGGAACUGAGACACGGUCCAGACUCCUACGGGAGGCAGCAGUGGGGAAUAUUGGACAAUGGGCGCAAGCCUGAUCCAGCCAUACCGCGUGGGUGAAGAAGGCCUUCGGGUUGUAAAGCCCUUUUGUUGGGAAAGAAAAGCAGCAGGUUAAUACCCCGCUGUUCUGACGGUACCCAAAGAAUAAGCACCGGCUAACUUCGUG